ACAUUCGUUACAUCUGUAAGGUUUCUCUCCUGGACAGGUUCUGUAAUGGCUCACAGGUUGGAGAAAUGUAUAGAAUGACUUAAGACUUCGAUUCCAUUCAUAAGAUAGCUCUUAAGAUGUUUUCUAAGACCUGAGUAGGACUUGUCACAAUCACUAAACUACAGGGUGGAUCCUGUAAUGUUUUUCAAAGCCUGAUGUAUUAUAAGAGAACUUGCCACAUUUCAUACAUUCAUAGGGAUAUUUUCCAUAAUGGAUUUUGUAAUGUACUUUGAUCUGUGACAAAUGCAAAAAGGAUUUCCUAUAUUUUGUACAUUUAUGGGAUUCCUCUCUGGUAUGGACUCUGAUGUCUACUGAGGCUUGAGUACAUCUUGAAGCAUUUCCCACAUUUCCUGCAUUUGUGUGGCUUCUUCCCACUAUUAGUUUCAGCAUGAGUUUAUGUGAAGUGGAAACUUAAGGGUUCUUUGGAAAGUCAGUUGGAUGGUGUUUUGCUGGGGCGAACACGUGAAGGAACGUUUAGCUGUUGUGGAUACAGGAGAAAGGAUGCUCUGCUAAAGCAAGCAUGUGAAAGGACACGUGAUGAAUGGUUCUUCUCCAAUAACACAUGUAAUGGUCUGCCUUACAUCAGGACUCCAUAGAGAGAAAUGCACCAAAAAACCUUCUGAUGAUAUGUUGCAGUUUACUGCGGCUUCCAAGGACUUGGGCUGAUUGGCAGAGUGAUGUCACCUGAGACAGAUGCACAUGCUGAGGCAGGACACACACUGAGGCAAGACUGUGGAGGACACUUGAUGUUUGUAGGGUGUAAAUAGGACUCCAAGGCUGAGCUAGGCUGGCCCAUAGAGCUAUCUGUACAACACUUGUGGGUCUUGAGUAUUCUCUGAUCUUUGCAUUGCUGAGAGAGGCACAGCCAAGACUUUUCUGGCUAUCUUCCAGGUCCCUCCUACUGACUUGUGCUUAGGCUGAGGCCUGUCUACUAGGCUGUGCCGCCAUUGCUGAUUCGUGAUUGCUAUUCCGACUCUACCAAACUGGACUGCGGGAGUAUCCAUGAAAUGUUUGCAAGUGGAUUGAGCUGCUGCUGCUGACCUGUGAACUGAACUGCAGAUUUCCAGACAACACAGACAGGAGUUGCUCCAAAGAAUCUUUCUAAAUAGGCUCACUUCCCCCAUCUUCCUUUUCCACUAAAUCUGGUGGGUGGUGGGCUAAAUGGAAGGUUAAAGCAUUUAAGAACCAUUAUUUAAAGCGAGACUUGAAAACAAUUAAAGUUACAUUUAUGUUCAGAGCCAGAAACCUUUUCAUACUCUGUAUUGUUGUGUUCUUAUGUGGAUUUUUGAUUUUGACUAAUGAUGCAACACACACAUUCCAACAGUUUAUACAGCUUUUAAAUUCUC
rnacentral:lncRNA from 1 species